rnacentral:rRNA from 1 species
AACGAACGCUGGCGGCAUGCCUAACACAUGCAAGUCGAACGAGACCUUCGGGUCUAGUGGCGCACGGGUGCGUAACGCGUGGGAACCUGCCCUUAGGUUCGGAAUAACUCCCCGAAAGGGGUGCUAAUACCGGAUAAUGUCUUCGGACCAAAGAUUUAUCGCCUUUGGAUGGGCCCGCGUUGGAUUAGCUAGUUGGUAGGGUAAAAGCCUACCAAGGCGACGAUCCAUAGCUGGUCUGAGAGGAUGAUCAGCCACACUGGGACUGAGACACGGCCCAGACUCCUACGGGAAGCAGCAGUGGGGAAUAUUGGACAAUGGGCGAAAGCCUGAUCCAGCAAUGCCGCGUGAGUGAUGAAGGCCUUAGGGUUGUACAGCUCUUUUACCCGGGAUGAUAAUGACAGUACCGGGAGAAUAAGCUCCGGCUAACUCCGUG